ensembl:lncRNA
UGCCCGGCUAUUAAAAGGGACUGCUUUCUGAGACAGCGUUUAAUUGAAGUUUUAUGGUAUGUCAAAUACAUUCGCUCUACGCCCAAAACAUUCAGACACAUAAACUCAUAGACUAUGUGAUAAAACAUUCAGUGUAGCAGGAUCGGACACACAAACCCAUGCACUUUGGCAAAAAAACAUUUAAAAGCACAUUUUUGGUAAUUUACAAAUAAUUUACUGCAAGAAAUAUAUACAAUAUGUUACAUGCAGAAAAUGCAUUGAGCAUAUUACAACAGGUAUACAUAAAGUAUCUCUGCUAUUCAUAUUCUCGCCUCUAGAAAACAUAGCAUUUAAAAACAUUUAUCCAUUCCCUAUAUCUAAAUUAAUAACACAUUGACUUAAGUAUGUGGACAUCUGUCCGGCGAACUUCCAAAAUCACGGCCACUGACUUGGAGUUUGUCUGCUCUAACUGGAUCUCGCGUUGUGCAGCAUUGUCAUGCUGAAACAGGAAAGGGCAUUCCCCAAACUGUUGCCACAAAGUUGGAAGCACAGAAUCAUCUAGAAUGUCAUUCAAUGCUGCAUCGUUAAGAUUUCCCUUCACUGGAACAAAAGGGCCUAGCCCGAACCAUGAAAAACAACCCCAGACUUUACAGUUGGCACUAUGCUUUCAGGCAGGUAUCAAUCUCAUGGCAUCCACCAAACCCAGAUUCGUCUGUGGACAGCGUGAUUCGUAAUUUCAGACAACACUUUUCCACUGCUCCAGAGUCCAAUGGCGGCGAACUUAGGCUUGUGUGCGGCUGCUCGGCCAUGGAAACCCAUUUCAUGAAGCUCCCCAUAAACAGUUAUUGUGCUGAUGUUGCUUCCACAGGCAGUUUGGAACUCGGUAGUGAUUGUUGCAACUAAGACUAUUUUACUGGCUGAGAAGUUGUUGCUCUUAGACAUUUCUUAGACAUUUCCACAUAACAGCACUUACAGUUGACCGGGGCAGCUCUGCCAGGGAGGAAAUUUGAUGAACUGACUUAUUGGAAAGGUGGCAUCCUAUGACAGUGACACAUUGAAGGCCAGUGAGCUCUUCAGUAAGGCCAUUGUACUGAUAUUGUUUGUCUAAGGACAUUGCAUGGCUGUGUGCUCAAUUUUAAACACCUCUCAGCAGGUGUUCCUGAAAUAAAUCCACUCAUUUGAAGGGGUAUCCACAAACUUUCACAAAGUAUUCAGGGCCCUUGACUUUUUCCACAUUUUGUUACGUAAAAGGCACAUGACAGCUUUCUUUCAGCUUGCUUUCAAAAGGCACCUAAAGACUCUCAGACCAUGAGAGUCUGAUCUGGUUUGAUGAAACCCAGGUUGAACUCUUUGGCCUGAAUGCCAAGUGUCACGUCUGGAUGAAACCUGGCACCAUCCCUAUGGUGAAGCAUGGUCGUGGCAGCAUCAUGCUCUGGGGAUGUUUUUUCAGCGACAGGGUCUGGGAGACUAGUCAGGA